rnacentral:lncRNA from 1 species
GGGCCAGAUAAGCCAGAGUCCCAGGGUCUUGUUCACGCCCCAUUACCGCCCCCAGGUUCCUCGACCAAGGUCUGGACGACAACUAUUGCCGGAAUCCUGACGGCUCCGAGCGGCCAUGGUGCUACACUACGGAUCCGCAGAUCGAGCGAGAGUUCUGUGACCUCCCCCGCUGCGGGUCCGAGGCACAGCCCCGCCAAGAGGCCACAACUGUCAGCUGCUUCCGCGGGAAGGGUGAGGGCUACCGGGGCACAGCCAAUACCACCACUGCGGGCGUACCUUGCCAGCGUUGGGACGCGCAAAUCCCGCAUCAGCACCGAUUUACGCCAGAAAAAUACGCGUGCAAGUGAGGUGGGGGGGGGGGGCGGGCGUUGGGACGUGCUGCUGCGGGUGAGACGGGAGGAAGGUAGUCACGGGCUCAAGGCUGGAGGCUGGCGGGCUAGGGCUGAGUGGAGCGCCUGCUUAGAGACCUUCGGGAGAACUUCUGCCGGAACCCCGACGGCUCAGAGGCGCCCUGGUGCUUCACACUGCGGCCCGGCAUGCGCGCGGCCUUUUGCUACCAGAUCCGGCGUUGUACAGACGACGUGCGGCCCCAGGACUGCUACCACGGCGCAGGGGAGCAGUACCGCGGCACGGUCAGCAAGACCCGCAAGGGUGUCCAGUGCCAGCGCUGGUCCGCUGAGACGCCGCACAAGCCGCAGUUCACGUUUACCUCCGAACCGCAUGCACAACUGGAGGAGAACUUCUGCCGGAACCCAGAUGGGGAUAGCCAUGGGCCCUGGUGCUACACGAUGGACCCAAGGACCCCAUUCGACUACUGUGCCCUGCGACGCUGCGCUGAUGACCAGCCGCCAUCAAUCCU